AUUGAACGCUGGCGGCAUGCUUUACACAUGCAAGUCGAACGGUAGAGGGGGCAACCCCUUGAGAGUGGCGAACGGGUGAGUAAUGCAUCGGAACGUGCCCAGUCGUGGGGGAUAACGCAGCGAAAGCUGUGCUAAUACCGCAUACGAUCUCUGGAUGAAAGCGGGGGACCGAAAGGCCUCGCGCGAUUGGAGCGGCCGAUGUCAGAUUAGGUAGUUGGUGGGGUAAAGGCUCACCAAGCCAACGAUCUGUAGCUGGUCUGAGAGGACGACCAGCCACACUGGGACUGAGACACGGCCCAGACUCCUACGGGAGGCAGCAGUGGGGAAUUUUGGACAAUGGGCGCAAGCCUGAUCCAGCAAUGCCGCGUGCAGGAAGAAGGCCUUCGGGUUGUAAACUGCUUUUGUACGGAACGAAAAGGUCUGGGUUAAUACCCUGGGCACAUGACGGUACCGUAAGAAUAAGCACCGGCUAACUACGUGCCAGCCGCCGCGGUAA
rnacentral:rRNA from 1 species